AGGCCCAAUCCUUAGAGUCUUCUUCAA
rnacentral:sRNA from 1 species